CCUACGGGCGGCUGCAGUGAGGAAUAUUGGACAAUGGGCGCAAGCCUGAUCCAGCCAUGCCGCGUGCAGGAUGACGGUCCUAUGGAUUGUAAACUGCUUUUGUACGAGAAGAAACACUGAUUCGUGAAUCAGCUUGACGGUAUCGUAAGAAUAAGGAUCGGCUAACUCCGUGCCAGCAGCCGCGGUAAUACGGAGGAUCCAAGCGUUAUCCGGAAUCAUUGGGUUUAAAGGGUCCGUAGGCGGUUUAGUAAGUCAGUGGUGAAAGCCCAUCGCUCAACGGUGGAACGGCCAUUGAUACUGCUGAACUUGAAUUAUUAGGAAGUAACUAGAAUAUGUAGUGUAGCGGUGAAAUGCUUAGAGAUUACAUGGAAUACCAAUUGCGAAGGCAGGUUACUACUAAUUGAUUGACGCUGAUGGACGAAAGCGUGGGGAGCGAACAGGAUUAGAUACCCGGGUAGUC
rnacentral:rRNA from 1 species